UAAUGUCUGCGACAACAUUGUUGCUAGCUAGUUAUAGAAAAUACAUUUGCUUUUUAUAAAAUAAUUACAAACUAGGUUUAUUGAAACACAUUACUCCAUGCAUUGGCAAGUGACAUUAACUGCGUGCACGUUCGGUACAGUGUUGCCAACUAAAUUUCAGAGAAAGUUGCUAGAGGCAGGUCGAUUUGUUGCUAAAAGUUGCUAAAUGACGUUGGAUGUCAUUGCGUGACGUAGUAACGUAAAACUGCGUCAUUACACAGAAUACACAAUAACGUUACUCAAAUUGACUGGCCAUCUCGGCGAAAAACAUGAUUUGACAUUUGAAUCCUACAGACGAAGAACCAUAUAUGUGACAUUUAAAAAAAUAAAAAAAAGAGAUAUACAUGAAAAAUCAUUAUUGGACACCAUUUUUCUAUAGUGAACCGGUUUCACAAGCUUUCCACGCGCUAAUUAACAAUAAUUUUAAAUUUAAAGAUAGGCUCUCGUGGAAUAACCGUUUAUGUGCACCACUCAGAAUGGAAGGACAAGCGCACAACCUUUCUGUUGCUGAUGAAAAUCGCAGAAAUGUGGGAAAGAAACGUAAAACAAAACUAAAAGAAUGGAAAGACAGGCAAAGGAAGAUCUUACGGGAUGCAGGAAAUCCCUAUACAAAUCGUAAGGGUCAAGAAAAAACUGGGAAAAGCUGUCCAAAAGAGGUAUGUGGAAGAACCGUAUAUCAAACAAUCAAGCUAGCUAGCUAUAGAGUACAGUAACUAACAUGUAUGUUCUGGGUUGUCUAAUUUUUAACUAUAGAGAAAACAUAUUAGCUAAAGUUCGUUGCCUACUAACUCAUACAUUAUCGUUACAAAUGUUAUUGCUAGAUUAUAGAAGAAACAUAGCUAAGCUACUUUUUCUCCAUCCACCGGCUGAUUCGACAUGGCUACAGUAGCUAGCUAGUUACACUGUAUCCUGCAGGGAAGAGCGUGUUCCACGACGUGCAGAAAGGAUUGUGGAAAGUUGACUGAUGAACGCAAGCUGCAUCUGUUCAACAGUUUCUACACUGUCCCAUACGAGAAACAACAAGCGUUGAUUCUCUCCGGCUUAGAACAGCAUGAGGUGAAACGGAGACGUAAACCUGAGGAUACAAAGGAGAACAAACGACGGAAACAAACCUUCAAAUACCAUGUACAGCAAGCAGGCCAGAGAUUGAAUGUGUGCAAGGUUACUUUCAUGUCAGUGUUCCAGCUAACACAGCUGUCUUCAGGCAAGUGAAAAUAUGAAUUAAUGUCUAUAUGAAUAUCAAUUACAAACAUAUUGUAUUCUCUGUACUAGUUUUUAAUAACCUGCUAAUUGAAAUGUAAUUGUUUUGGUCAGGUUAUUCAGGAAAAGUUAGCUGAGUCAGGUGAGGUUGCAGGGUCUCCAGAUCAGGCUACUUUAGAAGAUGGAAGCAUAGCAAUAGGUAAUGCGCUAUGGAUUCCAGCCUGGAUUAUUUCACUAUAGCAGUGCUCUAAACAAUCUUCUAAACAUUAACAUAGAGUAUCGAAUGGAUGAAUAGCGAAUUCUGAAACAAAAAUGUAAAAAUGUUUAUUACUUUUAAACAAAAUGAUGGUAACUAAGCUGUCCAACUACCACCUGAGCAUUGAGGACUGAGUGCCGAUUACCUUCCCCCUCCCACCAGACAGCACUGGCCUAAUUCUCGCCGCCCUACAGGCGGCAAUGGCGUGACCAGGAUUUGUACCCCGGUUAUAGCGACGCAGUUGCACUCUAAGGCAGGUCCCUAGACCAUUGAGAGAAUACAAGUUUAACAACACCUUGUUGUCUCCUUACAGGCCACAUCGGAUACAUGCUACAGUGAAAGAGGGCAUCAAGGAGCACAUUCUAUCUUUCCCAAGAACCCAGAACCACUACUCUCGGAUGAAGGGGGAUGUACACAGAGAAUACCUCAGCCCUGAUCUGAAUUUGUUGGCGAAUGUACCGACUCUACAAAGAGAAGAAUACCACAUCAUCUGCAAAAUUCUGGGUUUAUAGGGACAUUUUCAAACAGCAGAGUCUCAAUUUUGGCCAACCCAGGAGUGACACCUGUGGCAAAUGUGACGCAUUCUUCACUAAGAUGUCAGCAGCAACAUCUGAAGAGGAGAAGAGGAAGAUUGCAGUUGAAAGUGAGUUGCACCAUCGAAAAGGCCUACACACAGCUUCAAAGUGACACUGAGUGGGCUAAAGCCAAUGCUGACUGCCAUGUCAUUUCUGUGGAUCUACAGGGGGUGAUGUACACCCCUAAUCUGACCCACUCCAAUGUCUACUACCAGCGGCAGCUGUCAAAUUUUAACUUUUGCAUCCAGGAACUUGGAAAAGAAGAUCCUGCAUACAUGUGUGUUUGGCAUGAGGGGAUUGCGCACCGAGGGUCCAUUGAGGUGGCAAGCUGCAUAAUGAAGUGGGUGAAGACAAAAUUCACGCCACUCACCAAACCAGAGGUGCAAGUUGAUCAUAUUCAGUGACAGAUGCUGUGGGCAGAAUAACAACUGGCGGAUGCUCAAUCUGAUGUCGAUGCUCGUCUCUAUGGGUUACUUUACCCAAGUUGAGCAGAAGUUCAUGGUCUCUGGUCAUUCUUUUCUUCCUUGUGAUCGAUCUUUUGCCACCAUCGAGAAGAGGCGCAAGGUGUCAGUCCUUCAUACACCUGAUGAUGUUUCAAAGAUGAUACUUGAAGCACAACCAGCAAAACCAUUCAAGGUGAUGAGGAUGCAAUGUGAAGACUUCAGGCACCUCCCAGAUUCUGUCCUCAAGCGACCAGCUGGACUACAGAUCACCUCAGUGAGGUGGUUAAAAGUCACAGUUGAGGAUCCUUGGAAUCUGUACACCAGACAGAGCCACAGACUAUUUGAGGGAUGGAAAUCGUGGCUGAUCUCCAAACCAAAACAAGGAGCUACACCUCAACCUCCCUAUUUUGCAAGCCGCUACCCUAGAGCAUAUGAGAGUCCUCUGCCCAUCAAAAAAAAAGUACCAAGAUCUGAUGACCAUGCUGAACUCCUUGCCAGCUGCUGCACGCUCUUUUUAUGAAUCACUGCAGAGUGAAUCAUUUGUUGUUAAACCAAGCUACAUAAUUAACUGUUUUUUCUGUGAGUUUAUGAUCCCAUGAACCUGUAUACUGUAGUAUGUUGAAUCUGUAUACAUUUCAGAAGACAUGUCACCCCUAUUGUAGGAAAUGAAAUGUAUCGUAGGUGUUUUCUAUGUGAAUCAAUUUGUGUAUGAUUUGAACCAGCACAAUAUAUUGAAUUAAUUUAAUUUUAAGAUGUUGUUCCUAGUGUAGAAAAUGUUAUGUACAAUGUGUUCUGUUGAUAAUUAUUUUGUGUGUGAUCAUUUGACCCUUUUUUAAUCUGAAUGAAUUAAAAACAAAUAAGUCAUCACAUACAGUAUGUGAGUUCAUUUGA